rnacentral:lncRNA from 1 species
GUAAUUUUAGCUCAUUUUAAGGCCAAGGUUGGAAAAAAAUAGUAAAAAGCUAAAAAUUGUUAGAUGCAAUAAUUUAACUAUCCUGAACAAUAUACUAAAAGUCCCCAUGUAUCCUCUUGGAGCCUUUUCCAUUAUGACAAGGUUUUUUUCGAUUUCCCUAUUACUCCCAUAUUGUUAAAAAACGUGAAAUUUCAAGUUCACUCAUAACAAAAAUGACUCGCAUCACUAGAAAGCUCAUAAAAACUACAUAUAAGACAUUUAAACAGUCAC